rnacentral:rRNA from 1 species
ACGCNGGCGGCGGGUCUACACAUGCAAGUCGAGGGACGAACCGAGUGCUUGCACUUGGGGAAACCGGCGAACGGGUGAGUAACACGUGAGGAACCUGCCCUGUACACCGGGAUAACUACGGGAAACCGUGGCUAAUACCGGAUGCUCCACCGUGAUCGCAUGAUCGUGGUGGGAAAGCUCAGGCGGUACAGGAGGGCCUCGCGGCGUAUCAGCUAGUUGGUGGGGUAAUGGCCCACCAAGGCUACGACGCGUAGCUGGAGUGAGAGCUCGAACAGCCACACUGGGACUGAGACACGGCCCAGACUCCUACGGGAGGCAGCAGUGGAGAAUCUUGCGCAAUGGGCGAAAGCCUGACGCAGCCACGCCGCGUGCGGGAAGAAGGCCUUCGGGUCGUAAACCGCUUUCAGGAGGGAAGAAGCGAAAGUGACGGUACCUCCAGAAGAAGGUCCGGCUAACUACGUGCCAGCAGCCGCGGUAAUACGUAGGGACCGAGCGUUGUCCGGAUUUAUUGGGCGUAAAGCGCAUGUAGGCGGCCCUGUAAGUCGAUUGUGAAAUCCCGAGGCUCAACUUCGGAACUGCAGUCGAUACUGCAAGGCUUGAGGAAGGUAGAGGAGAGUGGAAUUCCCGGUGUAGCGGUGGAAUGCGCAGAUAUCGGGAGGAACACCAAUGGCGAAGGCAGCUCUCUGGGCCUUUCCUGACGCUGAGAUGCGAAAGCGUGGGUAGCGAACAGGAUUAGAUACCCUGGUAGUCCACGCCGUAAACGAUGGGUGCUAGAUGUGGGGAUCAGUUCACG